rnacentral:rRNA from 1 species
CCUACGGGUGGCUGCAGUAGGGAAUCUUCCGCAAUGGACGAAAGUCUGACGGAGCAACGCCGCGUGAGUGAUGAAGGUUUUCGGAUCGUAAAGCUCUGUUGUUAGGGAAGAACAAGUACCGUUCGAAUAGGGCGGUACCUUGACGGUACCUAACCAGAAAGCCACGGCUAACUACGUGCCAGCAGCCGCGGUAAUACGUAGGUGGCAAGCGUUGUCCGGAAUUAUUGGGCGUAAAGGGCUCGCAGGCGGUUUCUUAAGUCUGAUGUGAAAGCCCC